rnacentral:sRNA from 1 species
UUUUAUUGCAUUUGCUCAUUUGUGUGAAAAAAUAGUGCUGCAUUAUAGACUCUCCAGAUUUAAAUAACAUUUUGCUGAGUUGGGAAGAAGUGUUUCUCCUUAUUUGAUUGUCAUGGUGUGCACUGUUCAUUCCCACAGGCUUUGGUCCUCUUAGAUGUCACUCCUGACCAGUCAAUGGUAGAUGAAGGAAUGGCUCGGGAAGUUAUCAAUCGCAUACAGAAACUUCGCAAAAAGUGCAAUCUGGUUCCAACUGAUGAAAUCACAGUGUACUAUAAAGCGAAGUCUGAAGGAACAUAUCUGAAUAAUGUUAUUGAAAGCCACACAGAGUUCAUAUUUGCCACCAUAAAGGCUCCCUUGAAACCAUAUCCAGUUUCUCCAUCAGAUAAAGUCCUUAUUCAAGAAAAAACACAGUUGAAGGGAUCUGAACUGGAAAUUACACUCACCAGAGGAUCUUCCCUUCCUGGUCCUGCUUGUGCAUAUGUCAAUCUUAACAUUUGUGCAAAUGGCAGUGAACAAGGUAAGAGUAAAUUCCAUGAUUUGUGUGACUUUUUUUUAGUUAAUACUUAUGGAUGUGAAAAAACAAUCAAAAAAACUUAUGGAUGUUUUUAAGA